rnacentral:lncRNA from 1 species
UAAGAAAACAUUAGAUGUUGAGGGAUGGAAGUACCUAAAAUCUUCAUAACACUGGAGUAUUGAAAAUUCAGCAGCCAUUUUAGAAAAUUGGUUGUGUCUUGUAGAGCAAAAUAUGAACUCACUAGAAGACUAGUGUAAAUGUUUUCUCUGUCACCUACAGUUAUCCAAAGAACCCAGAUACCCUUUCAUGGGUAGAGAUAGACUUAGUGCUCUCUUAUUUAUAGAAGCUGAUCCCUUAGUCUCUGUCCUUACACCAUCUUAAGGCUUCUAAUCAUGGCAGUGGGAAUGCACUGAUAACUGCCUAGAGAAUCUUGUCAAAAGAUGUUCAUCUGAUGCCUCCUCAAUGACCUGAGACUGAAAGGUGCAACACUUGAAACACUCUGACUCCUUUAAUACUUCAAGCUUCAGCUCAGGAAGGCUCUGAUUCUGUGUCUAUUACUAUUGUCCUGGAUGUCAUGAUCACACAGGUGACUCUGUCAGGCAAACAGAGGCAUGAUAAAAGCUAGAAGGUACAUGUAAGCUGAAUAUCAGGAAACAUGAAAGACUCAGAAUGAAGUAGGAGAGGAUGGGGGCAGGGAGGAAGAUUCUGGCAGGUGCAACCUCACACAUUCUAAUAGACACAAAGGAGCAGAACAAAAGGAAAAAUGAGGCUGAUUUGUUACCCAGUCCAGUAGAUAUUUCGAUUAUGAUUUCCAAAAUGAGCACAUGGCUUCUUCCUGCAGAAUUUCCCUGUUUGUAACAGUACCACUUCGCUCUUUUCCUUCACCAGUUCCACCCAUACCUUUAAGCUCCAUUUUGUUGAUUUCUGAUUAUUUCUGCAAUUUAGCAAUGUCAUUUUAAAUUCAAAUAACAUUCUCCAGAGUGCUGCCCUUUGUGAACUUUCUGAGUUUCAUUUGCAAGUUUGGGAAUAAACUCUCUAUUACCAUUUCACGGUAGGAAAUUUUGAGCAUGCAGUCUGAAAUGCAUAAUAAAAUUCCCUAAACAAUUUCAAGGCUUCACAAACAUAAAGAAUAAUCAAAGACACCGAAUCCUCUUGAUUUAAGACUUAGAUUUUUUUCAUAAGACAUUUACUUCUAUACAUAGUUAUUUGCACAGUGGCAGAAGGAAUUCUAACAACCAAAUAGAAUGGUAAAGGAAAUGUCAUUUAGUGUCAAGAUAGGGUUAGAGAGGCAGAAUCCUUUGGUAAUUAACAAAUAAAGAACAAUGUAUGUGGUCGUCAAAUUUAUUCAGAGGUGUUUGUUAAAUAUCAGGUCAAAAUUCUGAACUCAAGAUUGUACUUUAUUGCAAUAUGUAAACAGUUUCAUGAAGUACAAUGUAUUUUAAAGAUGGGAAAUAUUUUAAUUUACAUCUGAUAUUUAAAAUGGUUUCUCAAUGGAGGAGCAUGUGUUUGGUGGACUCAGACUACUGGCUCAAUUUGUUAGAUUUACAAUGGUUUUAAACGAAAAGUAAGAUUGUCUCAUUCAAUCAGAUUUCGUACUGAUAGACAAGACAUACUUUUUCCCAUUUCACCUCAUAUGCUAUAAAAAGGCACUAUUCCCAAUAAAACCCCUCCAUUUAGCGCUAUCUAAACCUCUUUUCAUGGACAUUUUGUUGUCAGAGCAUGUGGUAUCUACUCAGUUUAGAAACAAGGCCAUAUGAUCAUUAUUUCCACUGACUAUACAGAAUAUUCAAAUUAAUGCCAUUGAACAACUUUGCAAAACAAAAAUCAGAUGCUCUAAAGGAUUCCUAGACCUUUUCUCUGCCCAUGAAGCAUGCUCCUUGAUUCAUUAGUUAAUAUUAUCCUGCUGAUCAAAAAUGCAAUAAAGUAUUAGCCCUCAACAGAUAAAACACUAUUAUAAAAUAUUACCCAUAAAAGUGAUAUAUAUGGAUAUGACACUCCUUUGGUUAGUAAUGGUAGUUGUAACAGCUAACAUCUAUUCAUUGUGAUCUGUCAGGCAAUGUUCUAAGUGACAUGCAUAUUCAUUUAAUCUUCAGAGUAAGCUCAGUUUAUAGGGCAGCAGAGAGAGGUAAUUGCUUUCCCAGGCAGUAUGCACAGAGUUUGGACCUGGCUGGCUGCACCUGGAGUCCAUGCUUAGUCUCUUAGGUGUGCUGUGGGUUCUGGCUUUCAGAAGGCAAUAUCUGUUUUCUUAAAAAGAACACAAGUAAGAGUUAAUAAAAACUGGACAUAUAUUAGCCCCAAAGUGUCAGUCUUACCCCUGAGUUUGUUAGGCAGAUUAUCUACCACUGAGCUGCACACCUUUAUGUAUGUCAAAGUUUGAGUAUAAAUGUGGAAACACUGGAGAAGUGACAGAGUACAUGGAGAAGUUAUAGCCAUCUCUUCAUGGCACACAUAGUGAGAAUGUUGCUGAUGGGGAUAUGAGUAAAGAUUCCAGUUCGCUAUUCCAGUAAGUAUUAUAACACAUAAGUGACAGAAAAUAAGGACAAAUGAAAAUUCUCUUAUAAGAAUUAAUUGCCCCUCCACUAUUACCUUUAAUGAAUAUAUUUUUAAGUAUGUACAUUCAAUUAUAACUAUCAAGUUAUACCAUAGAGUGGUGUAACAGACUAUAUGUGUCCUCUUUAAACUGAUAUUUGAAAUCUUAUGCCACCAUUUAAAAUUAUUUGGAGUUGGGAGCUUAUAGAAAGAUAUUAGUCAUAAAUUAAGAGUUCAUGUGAUUGGCCAAGGACAAGGAAAUGGGCUUCAGGCAGGAAUCUGACAUUGGGCCAUGACAAGGAAGUAAGCUCAGGCAGGAAUCUUAAGUUUAGGCUAGAACAGGGAAGUAAGUUCAGGUAAGAAUCUAAUUUUAGGCUAGAACAAAGAAGGCAUGAAUAUGACUUUGGACUAGGACAGGGAAGUAGGCUCAGAAAUCCCAGUCAUCCAGGAGGGACCAGAGGACCUUGUUUAUUGUCUUGCUUGUUCUUUGACUAUUUGUAUUUAUUGUACUGCUUGACCUUAUUACUUGCAUGUAAUUAAAACUGUAUAAAAGCAGAUUGGGAAAAAAUAAACCCGCCUCAGCCUCCGAACUUACUGGGGUCGAGCAUAGUAAAAGAAGCCUAGACAGUUCUCUUCCCUUCCAUGCUGUGAGAUUUUGUUAUAAAACGGACAGCAGGGUGCAACCUGAGCAGGCCCUUACCAGAGCCUGACCAAGACAGCAGCCAGACCUCAGACCUGCAUCCUUUAGAAUCAAGGAAAAUGCAUUUAUAUGAUUUAAUAGUCACUAUGUUUGCUUGAAAGAGCUGAGGAAGAAGGCUUUACUCUAAUUACAUGGUUCUCUUUUGUAGAAUAUCUCCAUGUUUCUAAGUGUUUGUUCUUUUGGGUAAUAGUAUAAUCAAUAUCUUCAUAUAUGAACAUUAAUCAAUAGACCAUUUGUUGAAUUCUUACAAAUGUAGUUGCUCAUUAAAGAAGGUAGUCUUUCUUAGAGCACUGGGAUAUUUUGAAAGAUGCACUUUAUUGAGCCCUGAUUUCUUCUUUUCCUACUGAAAAUAAAAAAAAAAAAAUCUCAGGACUAUAGCCCUAUCAGUUGGUUAGGUUGAAGAACACUAGACUGACUUUCAAAUCUUACUUGUCAUGAGAAAGUUAUUUCCUACCAACUUUUCAAAGUCAGUUGCAAUGACCGGUCUCCACCUAUUUUCUUUUCCAGGGAGAUUACCUGUGGAAAUCCAAUACAAAACUUUAAACAAACAUCUGAGAAACCUAUUAUUCCUGGCUAAGCACUGACAUCAUAUUUUAGAUUGUUUGAUAUAAGAAUUACUUACAUUUUUUUCUCUGAGUAUCCACUGAAAAUUUGAACAAGAAUUUCAUGGCCUCUGGGUAAAUAAGAAAGGUAAUUUGUGUCAAUACUUCCCAAGAUUCUUUCUGACCAUUUGACACCAUGGACUUAUGGAAAAUACCCUAUUACAUGAUGUAAGCCUUUGUAAUUGGAUCAAAUGGUGCUAUUUCAUAGAUUAGAAAUUUGAAAUGA